rnacentral:rRNA from 1 species
UAUACGGCCUUUGAGCCCGAUCUNGGUACCCGGGGAUCCGAUNCCCGGGAAUCCAAGCUUAAGGAGGUGAUCCAGCCGCACCUUCCGAUACGGCUACCUUGUUACGACUUCACCCCAAUCAUCUAUCCUACCUUAGACGGCUGCCUCCUAAAAGGUUAGCUCACCGGCUUUGGGUAUUACAAACUCUCGUGGUGUGACGGGCGGUGUGUACAAGGCCCGGGAACGUAUUCACCGCGGCGUGCUGAUCCGCNAUUACUAGCGAUUCCGACUUCAUGUAGGCGANUUGCAGCCUACAAUCCGAACUGANAUUGGCUUUAAAANAUUAGCUUGACAUCACUGCCUUGCGACUCGUUGUACCAACCAUUGUAGCACGUGUGUAGCCCAGGUCAUAAGGGGCAUGAUGAUUUGACGUCAUCCCCACCUUCCUCCGGUUUAUUACCGGCAGUCUCGCUANANUGCCCAACUUAAUGAUGGCAACUAACAAUAGGGGUUUGCGCUCGUUGCGGGAACUUAACCCCCAACAUCUCCACGAACACGAAACUGAACGAAAAACCCAUUCCCCCCNCCCUGUUUUCCCCCGNNUUUCCCCCNAAANGAAAACUNCCCUAUCCNCCNNAGGGAAAAUNACCCCNAAAUUUUUNUUNCCAAAA